ensembl:lncRNA
GUGGAUGUUCCCUUUGUGUGGAGAACGAAAGUUAACUGCACUUCUUGGUGUAGGAUUCUACGGCAAACAACUGAAGUUUAAUAUUAGAGGCGUAAUAUUACAAAUUUAAUAUUAAACUUCAGUUGUUUGCUAGGACUGGCGCUGGGGAGUACACAAAGCUGGAUGUGUACAUAAUGAAAAGAGAGAAAAAAUGCUGCCCUUCCUGAUUCUUCUGUUUCUAAACCCACUGAUUUCUGCCGCACAAGACCCAAAACCCAUCACAGCUAAGCCUGGAGACAACGUCAUUCUGCCAUGUCAAGCUCCAAACAGCAACAACCUCGCAGGUGUGGAGUGGAGCAGACGUGACCUGGAGCCAGAAUAUGUUCUUUUGCUCCGAGAUGGGCACAUUGUUCCAGAAGACCAGCAACCAUCUUUUAAAGACCGGGUGGAACUCCAGGACCAACAGAUGAAAAAUGGAAACGUGUCUUUGAUUCUGGAGAAAGUGACAGCUGCAGAUGAUGGAACAUACGAGUGCCGUAUCCUCACGCAUGGGGGAGAACGGAGAAAGAGAGCUGUGGAAACCAUCAGCGUCAUCAACCUUCAUGUUGUUCCUGCAGGUGAGUCAGACAGGAGAAGCCACAGAGGAUGGAGGAGGGAAGAUUGGAUCUGUUGAACCUGCAGCUAUUCUUUCAGUUUCUGCUCUGCUCCUUCUUCUUCUUGCUUCUGUUGUUGGCUUUGUGAUCUACAGAAAACGUAAACCACAACAGAGUCAGAAAUCAUACCAGCCUCCAGCUGAACAAUCGCCUGUCUGAAAAUUUUCAGAGCUUUUUUCAGCUUUACUUUAAAUUUCCUGCUGCUGUUCCAAGUUCUCCCUUCUGACAUUCAGCAUGUGGAAAUAUAAUAUAGGUCCGAAUCUGGGCCCUGUACUAUGAAGCAAGUCCAACAUACCCAGAGUAUCUUUCCUGACAUUGGUGGUCAUAAGAAGCUUGUCAUCUAGUUGCUUGGUUAACACAGAGUUUUCCAAUCUAGGUAUGAGUGAAUAAAAGAGGUGGCACUGGCAGCAUCUGGCCAUUCAUGUUGAGAAUUGUACUGGCAGAUAAGUGGCUGAUUUUGCAAUGAAAGAGUAAAUUGGAAAAAUGUGAAAAAGGUUAGAAAUAAUAUUAAAUAAAAGCAACACAGCUGCUGCAGAUCAAUCAGCACAGUGGGAGUUAAAGUAGAGCAGAGUAGUUCAUUCUUAAACGCGCUCUAAUGUGUGAGCCUUAAAUGUUUUGAAGAAUCUGAUGUAAUACAUUCUUGUAUUCUACAAAGUUAAUGUUCAGAUUAGCAAAAAACAGUUUUAUUUUUUACUUGUCAGCUGCAGCCCUGAUUGUGUAAAUAAGUAAAUAAUAAAUGCAAUAACAGGAUUCCAAUGUACCUGCUGUCCACCUGGAACUGAUAUAAAAUUCAAAAAUUCAAAUUCAAAUUUUAUUUGUCACAUACACAGUCAUACACAGUACGAUAUGCAGUGAAAUGCCUUAUACAACUGCUCGUGACCUAAAGAAAAAAAAGAAAGAAAAGGCUAUGAAUAAAAUAGGAAAUAAAUAUGAAAAUUAAAAGGGUGAAUUUAACUAGGAAGGAAUAAAAUAGAAUAUAUAUGAAUUAGAGUUGAAAAUAAAGUAACUGUACAACAAAAUGAACAGUAUGGAAAUAAUAAGAAUGUAUGAGGAAAUAUAAUAUAAAUAUAUAUGCAAUAUACAAUAGCAGCAGCUGUACAAAUAUUAAAUGGAAAUGAAGACAUAUAAGAAAUAUAAUGUCCAGUGUUGUGCAAACCACAAUGCACAUAUAAAGUCUUAUAAUAUAAUAAUGAUAUAAUAUAAUAUAAUAUAAAGACUUCGGACAACUACUACUAUCCACGCACUGGUCUGAAUGAUCUUCCAGGAAUGGUGAUGCUGUUUGUCACAGACUUAGUUUGCCAGUAGGAAGUGAUCUCACACCUCAUUUCAUACCUACAGAUCUCUAUGACCCAACCUGUUCAAUAGCAGGUUAGGUCAUAGAUUAACAAGGAACCCCAGGAAAAAGUGAACCACCUUCAUAGUACAGAAAACCCAGGUUGAACCCUGAAGUUACCUGGGUAAGACAAAAUUCUCCUAACAGGCCUUUCAUCUUCAGUUGCUUCGUAAUAAACGUCCAUCAUCUGAGGAAUAAUUGCCUCAUCAUCCUCACCUCAAAACAGAGAGCAAAGAGAAAAUGAAAUCACUUAUUCUAAAUGCUAAACCUUUUAUUGCUAAUCUAGCAAUAAAAUGUCUGUUAAGGGCAAAUAAAUAUGAAACAACAAGAAAAAAUGCAAGAAUAAAAAAUAACAAAAACUAAAACUUCCACAGUUUUAUAUAGAUUGAAUGCAUUCUGUCUCUGUCUGUCACAACAUGAACUAAAGAUUUGCUGUUGUGGUGUUUUGAUUGAGGGUCUGUCUGGUAAUGAUGUAUGUGAGUAGAUUAGUGACUGUGAGCCAAUUAUGAAAUGAUUCUCUGUUUAAUAUUAAUGUCUUGUUUGAAACUUCAAGUCUCCUCAUAAGCUACAGUUAAACAUAGCAUGUAUUUUACAAACAUAGUAUGUAUUUUACUGUUUCUUGCAUUUUUAUUUAGCAUCAGUUUUUUAAACAAAAUCCUGGUUGGGAGAUAUUACUUGUAUGAUUACCUGCUGAAGCUUUAAUGUGUGUUUUGAAAGACUAGUGUGAAAUGUAAAUAAAGGGAAAACUAUCAGUUUAUAUUGUUUUUGUUUUUCUGUUGUUUUGUGCUCAGGUUCUUUCCUUUAGUGGUGAAUAUGAAAACAACAACAACAACUGGCUAUUAUAAUCUUCAUGCAGGUCUAAUCUCACUGGGGACCACCUGAUCUCAGCUCCUACAGAGAGAGAAGCUACAGCACUAAAGAUUUAAAAGUCAAUCAUUUUUCCCUCAAGACACAUUUGAGUCUAAAGCUUCUCUUUAUACCUGAUAUAAAAGCUGCUUAUCAGUUAUUCAUUGAACAAAGUUCUCUCUGUAGAACACACACUGAUUAUACUCAAUAAAAGCUGGUAAUAAACUUUUAUUGAGUAUAAAAGUUUAUUACUUUUAUACUCAAUAAGUGCAGUUUAUACAAUAACUACAGUUAUAAACUACAGUUUAUAACUUUAGUUUAUAACUACAGUUUAUAAUUGUAGUUAUUGUAGUUAGCUUUCAAUAACUACAGUAUGUACCAAAAAUACUUUGGACUAAACUUAAAUUCAGCCAAAGCUCCUCAUGAGUUUGUGACUGUAACUAGAAGCAAAACAGUUCAUGUUAUUGUCUGAAGGUCAGCUUCAGCUCUGCCACCGUUUCUCAGCUUGAGGCAGGAAGAAGGUUUCAGUUCUUCUUCUCUGAGUCUAAAGUGCAAACUAAGCCUGAUGUGUAAACACACUGCUGAUCUUUGAUUCAGCUGCUUCAGGUUAAUGAGUGUUUCAGUCAGACUGCAGUAAACUCGUCACUCUGUACACUCUGAUUAAGGGCACGGGCUAUAUUAAAACUUUGAUGUUUUUAAUACAUACUCAAAUAAGAC